AGUGAAUAGAUACCCGGGUAGUCCACGCCGUAAACGAUGGAUGCUAGCUGUUAUGAGUAUCGACCCUCGUAGUAGCGUAGCUAACGCGUUAAGCAUCCCGCCUGUGGAGUACGGUCGCAAGACUAAAACAUAAAGGAAUUGACGGGGACCCGCACAAGCGGUGGAGCGUGUUGUUUAAUUCGAUGGUAAGCGAAGAACCUUACCCAAGCUUGACAUCCUGCCAAGUUCGCCGAAAGGCGAGUGUGCCUUCGGGCCGCAGUGACAGGUGAUGCAUGGCCGUCGUCAGCUCGUGUCGUGAGAUGUUUGGUUAAGUCCAUCAACGAGCGCAACCCUUAUAGUUAGUUGUAUUUCUCUAGCUAGACUGCCCUGGUAACAGGGAGGAAGGGGGGAUGAUGUCAGGUCAGUAUUUCCCUUACGUCUGGGGCUACAAACACGCUACAAUGGCCGGUACAAAGGGCUGCAACCCGCGAGGGGAGCAAAUCCCAUCAAAGCCGGUCUCAGUUCGGAUUGUAGGCUGAAACUCGCCUGC
rnacentral:rRNA from 1 species